AUCUGAGCUCCUUAGCGAUGCGUCUAAUAUUUUUCAAAAGUUUGAUAUUAAAGGAUUAAAGGACGAUCCGUACUUCAGGUGUUAUGCACUGCGGAUCUGGAAUUCAGUUCCGUAGUGCACUGUCUGGUGGGGCUCCCACCGGGCUAUUA
ensembl:ncRNA C06G1.12 ncRNA